ACAGACUCCUGUGAAGUUUUGCUAUAGACUCACAAGGUGAGGAGAGAAGUCUGUGAUCCAGGUUCCACAGAGUGGAUUUCUUCAGCGGCGGUUCUCUAGACACUCUCUUUCUUCUGUCUAUAAUGCCACUAGUUGAGCUGGAUUAGAGCUUGCCAUAGCAACUCAUUUUAAUAACCUCUUUUUAAAAAAUCCUGUAUCCAAACAUGGUCUCAUUCUGAAGUGCUGGAGUUGAGAAUUUCAACGUGAAUUUGGUGGAGGAGACACAAUUUAGUCCAUGACACAAGCUACCAAAACCCCACUCUGUCCCCUCAUUGUUUAGAUGACCUUGAACUGCAUUUCUUUCUUUUAGGACUCUUAACCCAAAUUCUUACAACUUGUUAGCAGUCAAAAUAUUUCGCCACUUUCAUUAAAUAAUUGCUCAAAGCAGUGCAUUAA
rnacentral:lncRNA from 1 species